AUUGAACGCUGGCGGCAGGCCUAACACAUGCAAGUCGAGCGGAUGAGUGGAGCUUGCUCCAUGAUUCAGCGGCGGACGGGUGAGUAAUGCCUAGGAAUCUGCCUGGUAGUGGGGGACAACGUUUCGAAAGGAACGCUAAUACCGCAUACGUCCUACGGGAAAAAGUGGGGGAUCUUCGGACCUCACGCUAUCAGAUGAGCCUAGGUCGGAUUAGCUAGUUGGUGAGGUAAAGGCUCACCAAGGCGACGAUCCGUAACUGGUCUGAGAGGAUGAUCAGUCACACUGGAACUGAGACACGGUCCAGACUCCUACGGGAGGCAGCAGUGGGGAAUAUUGGACAAUGGGCGAAAGCCUGAUCCAGCCAUGCCGCGUGUGUGAAGAAGGUCUUCGGAUUGUAAAGCACUUUAAGUUGGGAGGAAGGGCAGUAAGUCAAUACCUUGCUGUUUUGACGUUACCAACAGAAUAAGCACCGGCUAACUUCGUGCCAGCCGCCGCCGUAAGAC
rnacentral:rRNA from 1 species